CUCUUGCUUGUAGAUUCGUAUUGGUUGCAAUUCCUCCAUCUUUAUUUCACUAACUCACACAAAAUCUUGACUGAUCGUGCACUCAACCAAGUGCCCACAAUCAAUGGCCCUUUUUUCCCAACACCUUAGCUAAAGUUCUGAAGGGAAGGAGGAAAAUUCAAUGUGUCAUCAAUCAUGAUCUUGAUGGCCUUGCUAGUCCUCAAAAAAUGGCUCAGAGCACGAUCUACAAUCUUUUGUACACCACCGAUCUCCUAGUUCAUCAAGUGACAAACUUCAUCAAUUUGAAAGAUGGUCUUUCAUACUUCAUUUAGACUCACCAAUUAUUAGCUUCAUUGGUUGAGGAUAUCGAGAGAGUGACUUCUUAAAGGGAAGAGCUUGAGUUUGAAGUGGCCAUCCUCAAAGACAAGCUAAAACCUAUCUUGAAUGUCUAUGAUGACCCCUAAGAGCAGAUUCGAUCAGCAAAGUAC
rnacentral:lncRNA from 1 species